rnacentral:sRNA from 1 species
GGUUGACCUCGGAUCAGGUAGGGAUACCCGCUGAACUUAAGCAUAUCAAUAAGCGGAGGAAAAGAAACCAACAGGGAUUGCCUCAGUAACGGCGAGUGAAGCGGCAACAGCUCAAAUUUGAAAUCUGGCCCUUGCAGGGUCCGAGUUGUAAUUUGUAGAGGAUGCUUCGGGUCCGGCUCCGGUCUAAGUUCCUUGGAACAGGACGUCACAGAGGGUGAGAAUCCCGUACGUGACCGGCCGCCACGCCCGUGUGAAGCUCCUUCGACGAGUCGAGUUGUUUGGGAAUGCAGCUCAAAAUGGGUGGUAAAUUUCAUCUAAAGCUAAAUACCGGCCAGAGACCGAUAGCGCACAAGUAGAGUGAUCGAAAGAUGAAAAGCACUUUGGAAAGAGAGUUAAAAAGUACGUGAAAUUGUUGAAAGGGAAGCGCUUGCAACCAGACUUGCCCGCGGGUGAUCAGCCGGUAUUCUUACCGGUGCACUCGCCCGUGGUCAGGCCAGCAUCGGUUUGGGCGGCUGGACAAAGGCCCCCGGAAUGUAGCUCCUCUCGGGGAGUGUUAUAGCCGGAGGUGCAAUGCAGCCAGCCCGGACCGAGGACCGCGCUUCGGCUAGGAUGC